GAUACUUAUGCCAUUACUUAAAAAAUACAAACUGAAUAUCACAUGGGGUGAUCAAGAUUUAUUAAAUAUAAUGUUUUUUCAUAAUCCAGAAAGCCUUUUUGUUUUUCCAUGCCACUGGAAUUAUCGGCCUGAUCAUUGUAUCUAUGGAAGCAAUUGUCGAGAAGCUGAAGAAGAAGGAAUUUUUAUUCUCCAUGGGAACAGAGGUGUUUACCAUGAUGAUAAGCAGCCAGUUUUUAGAGCCAUUUAUGAAGCACUGCGAAAUGUAAGCAUUUGCUCUUUUAAUUAGGUUUUUGGGAAAAGUAAAACAACAAAUGGU